ACUAAGCGUACACGGUGGAUGCCCUGGCAGUCAGAGGCGAUGAAGGGCGUGCUAAUCUGCGAUAAGCGCCGGUAAGGUGAUAUGAACCGUUAUAACCGGCGAUACCCGAAUGGGGAAACCCAGUGUGAUUCGUCACACUAUCAUUAACUGAAUCCAUAGGUUAAUGAGGCGAACCGGGGGAACUGAAACAUCUAAGUACCCCGAGGAAAAGAAAUCAACCGAGAUUCCCCCAGUAGCGGCGAGCGAACGGGGAGGAGCCCAGAGCCUGAAUCAGCAUGUGUGUUAGUGGAAGCGUCUGGAAAGGCGCGCGAUACAGGGUGACAGCCCCGUACACAAAAGCGCAUGUGCUGUGAGCUCGAUGAGUAGGGCGGGACACGUGGUAUCCUGUCUGAAUAUGGGGGGACCAUCCUCCAAGGCUAAAUACUCCUGACUGACCGAUAGUGAACCAGUACCGUGAGGGAAAGGCGAAAAGAACCCCGGCGAGGGGAGUGAAAAAGAA
rnacentral:rRNA from 1 species